rnacentral:rRNA from 1 species
UACGUGUGUGGCAAGCGUUGUUCGGAAUUACUGGGCAUAAAGAGUUCGUAGGCGGACUCAUCAGUUGGAUGUGAAAUCCCACAGCUCACCUGUGGAACUGCAUUCAAUACUGUGAGUCUGGAGUACUUGAGGGGUAAGCGGAAUUCCAUGUGUAGCGGUGAAAUGCGUAGAUAUAUGGGAGAAGGCCAAAGGCGAAGGCAGCUUACUGGCGAGAUACUGACGCUGAGGAACGAAAGUUAGGGUAUCGAACGGG